rnacentral:rRNA from 1 species
CCUACGGGAGGCAGCAGUAGGGAAUAUUGCUCAAUGGGGGAAACCCUGAAGCAGCAAAGCCGCGUGGAGGAUGAAGGUUUUCGGAUUGUAAACUCCUUUUGUUAGAGAAGAUAAUGACGGUAUCUAACGAAUAAGGACCGGCGAACUCCGUGCCAGAAGGAGCGGUAAUACGGAGGGUGCAAGCGUUACUCGGAAUCACCGGGCGUAAAGAGCGAGUAGGCGGGAUAGCAAGUCAGGUGUGAAAUCCUAUGGCUUAACCAUAGAACUGCCUUUGAAACUGUUAUUCGUGAGUAUGGGAGAGGUAGGUGGAAGUCUUGGUGUAGGGGUAAAAUCCUUAGAUAUCAAGAGGAAUUCUCAUUGCGAAGGCGACCUGCUAGAACAUAACUGACGCUGAUGCGCGAAAGCGUGGGUAGCAAACAGGAUUAGAUACCCCGGUAGUC